UUAAGUUAUUAAGGGCGCACGGUGGAUGCCUUGGCACUAGAAGCCGAUGAAGGACGUUACUAACGACGAUAUGCUUUGGGGAGCUGUAAGUAAGCUUUGAUCCAGAGAUUUCCGAAUGGGGAAACCCAGCAUGAGUUAUGUCAUGUUAUCGAUAUGUGAAUACAUAGCAUAUCAGAAGGCACACCCGGAGAACUGAAACAUCUUAGUACCCGGAGGAAGAGAAAGAAAAUUCGAUUCCCUUAGUAGCGGCGAGCGAAACGGGAAGAGCCCAAACCAACAAGCUUGCUUGUUGGGGUUGUAGGACACUCUAUACGGAGUUACAAAGGACGACAUUAGACGAAUCAUCUGGAAAGAUGAAUCAAAGAAGGUAAUAAUCCUGUAGUCGAAAAUGUUGUCUCUCUUGAGUGGAUCCUGAGUACGACGGAGCACGUGAAAUUCCGUCGGAAUCUGGGAGGACCAUCUCCUAAGGCUAAAUACUCUCUAGUGACCGAUAGUGAACCAGUACCGUGAGGGAAAGGUGAAAAGCACCCCGGAAGGGGAGUGAAAUAGAACCUGAAACCGUGUGCUUACAAGUAGUCAGAGCCCGUUAAUGGGUGAUGGCGUGCCUUUUGUAGAAUGAACCGGCGAGUUACGAUUUGAUGCAAGGUUAAGCAGUAAAUGUGGAGCCGUAGCGAAAGCGAGUCUGAAUAGGGCGUUUAGUAUUUGGUCGUAGACCCGAAACCAGGUGAUCUACCCUUGGUCAGGUUGAAGUUCAGGUAACACUGAAUGGAGGACCGAACCGACUUACGUUGAAAAGUGAGCGGAUGAACUGAGGGUAGCGGAGAAAUUCCAAUCGAACCUGGAGAUAGCUGGUUCUCUCCGAAAUAGCUUUAGGGCUAGCCUCAAGUGAUGAUUAUUGGAGGUAGAGCACUGUUUGGACGAGGGGCCCCUCUCGGGUUACCGAAUUCAGACAAACUCCGAAUGCCAAUUAAUUUAACUUGGGAGUCAGAACAUGGGUGAUAAGGUCCGUGUUCGAAAGGGAAACAGCCCAGACCACCAGCUAAGGUCCCAAAAUAUAUGUUAAGUGGAAAAGGAUGUGGCGUUGCCCAGACAACUAGGAUGUUGGCUUAGAAGCAGCCAUCAUUUAAAGAGUGCGUAAUAGCUCACUAGUCGAGUGACACUGCGCCGAAAAUGUACCGGGGCUAAACAUAUUACCGAAGCUGUGGAUUGUCCUUUGGACAAUGGUAGGAGAGCGUUCUAAGGGCGUUGAAGCAUGAUCGUAAGGACAUGUGGAGCGCUUAGAAGUGAGAAUGCCGGUGUGAGUAGCGAAAGACGGGUGAGAAUCCCGUCCACCGAUUGACUAAGGUUUCCAGAGGAAGGCUCGUCCGCUCUGGGUUAGUCGGGUCCUAAGCUGAGGCCGACAGGCGUAGGCGAUGGAUAACAGGUUGAUAUUCCUGUACCACCUAUAAUCGUUUUAAUCGAUGGGGGGACGCAGUAGGAUAGGCGAAGCGUGCGAUUGGAUUGCACGUCUAAGCAGUAAGGCUGAGUAUUAGGCAAAUCCGGUACUCGUUAAGGCUGAGCUGUGAUGGGGAGAAGACAUUGUGUCUUCGAGUCGUUGAUUUCACACUGCCGAGAAAAGCCUCUAGAUAGAAAAUAGGUGCCCGUACCGCAAACCGACACAGGUAGUCAAGAUGAGAAUUCUAAGGUGAGCGAGCGAACUCUCGUUAAGGAACUCGGCAAAAUGACCCCGUAACUUCGGGAGAAGGGGUGCUCUUUAGGGUUAACGCCCAGAAGAGCCGCAGUGAAUAGGCCCAAGCGACUGUUUAUCAAAAACACAGGUCUCUGCUAAACCGUAAGGUGAUGUAUAGGGGCUGACGCCUGCCCGGUGCUGGAAGGUUAAGAGGAGUGGUUAGCUUCUGCGAAGCUACGAAUCGAAGCCCCAGUAAACGGCGGCCGUAACUAUAACGGUCCUAAGGUAGCGAAAUUCCUUGUCGGGUAAGUUCCGACCCGCACGAAAGGCGUAACGAUUUGGGCACUGUCUCAACGAGAGACUCGGUGAAAUCAUAGUACCUGUGAAGAUGCAGGUUACCCGCGACAGGACGGAAAGACCCCGUGGAGCUUUACUGUAGCCUGAUAUUGAAAUUCGGCACAGCUUGUACAGGAUAGGUAGGAGCCUUUGAAACGUGAGCGCUAGCUUACGUGGAGGCGCUGGUGGGAUACUACCCUAGCUGUGUUGGCUUUCUAACCCGCACCACUUAUCAUGGUGGGAGACAGUGUCAGGCGGGCAGUUUGACUGGGGCGGUCGCCUCCUAAAAGGUAACGGAGGCGCUCAAAGGUUCCCUCAGAAUGGUUGGAAAUCAUUCAUAGAGUGUAAAGGCAUAAGGGAGCUUGACUGCGAGACCUACAAGUCGAGCAGGGUCGAAAGACGGACUUAGUGAUCCGGUGGUUCCGCAUGGAAGGGCCAUCGCUCAACGGAUAAAAGCUACCCCGGGGAUAACAGGCUUAUCUCCCCCAAGAGUUCACAUCGACGGGGAGGUUUGGCACCUCGAUGUCGGCUCAUCGCAUCCUGGGGCUGUAGUCGGUCCCAAGGGUUGGGCUGUUCGCCCAUUAAAGCGGUACGCGAGCUGGGUUCAGAACGUCGUGAGACAGUUCGGUCCCUAUCCGUCGUGGGCGUAGGAAAUUUGAGAGGAGCUGUCCUUAGUACGAGAGGACCGGGAUGGACAUACCUCUGGUGUACCAGUUGUCGUGCCAACGGCAUAGCUGGGUAGCUAUGUGUGGACGGGAUAAGUGCUGAAAGCAUCUAAGCAUGAAGCCCCCCUCAAGAUGAGAUUUCCCAACUUCGGUUAUAAGAUCCCUCAAAGAUGAUGAGGUUAAUAGGUUCGAGGUGGAAGCAUGGUGACAUGUGGAGCUGACGAAUACUAAUCGAUCGAAGACUUAAUCAA
rnacentral:rRNA from 1 species